GGCCACAUCAUGUUGAAACACCAGUUCUCAUAUGAUUACCAAAGUUAAGCAAUGCCAAGCUUAGUCAGUACCUAGAUAAGUGACUGUUUGGGAAUAUCAGGUGCUGUAAG